rnacentral:rRNA from 1 species
UGGGGAAUUUUGGACAAUGGGCGAAAGCCUGAUCCAGCAAUGCCGCGUGUGUGAAGAAGGCCUUCGGGUUGUAAAGCACUUUUGUCCGGAAAGAAAUCCUUGGCUCUAAUACAGUCGGGGAUGACGGUACCGGAAGAAUAAGCACCGGCUAACUACGUGCCAGCAGCCGCGGUAAUACGUAGGGUGCAAGCGUUAAUCGGAAUUACUGGGCGUAAAGCGUGCGCAGGCGGUUUGCUAAGACCGAUGUGAAAUCCCCGGGCUCAACCUGGGAACUGCAUUGGUGACUGGCAGGCUAGAGUAUGGCAGAGGGGGGUAGAAUUCCACGUGUAGCAGUGAAAUGCGUAGAGAUGUGGAGGAAUACCGAUGGCGAAGGCAGCCCCCUGGGCCAAUACUGACGCUCAUGCACGAAAGCGUGGGGAGCAAACAGGAUUAGAUACCCUGGUAGUCCACGCCCUAAACGAUGUCAACUAGUUGUUGGGGAUUCAUUUCCUUAGUAACGUAGCUAACGCGUGAAGUUGACCGCCUGGGGAGUACGGUCGCAAGAUUAAAACUCAAAGGAAUUGACGGGGUCAUAGCUG